UACGGAGGGUGCAAGCGUUAAUCGGAAUUACUGGGCGUAAAGCGCACGCAGGUGGCUGAGUCAGUCGAUUGUGAAAGCCCUGGGCUUAACCUGGGAAUUGCAGUCGAUACUGCUCAGCUAGAGUAUGGGAGAGGGCAGUGGAAUUCCCGGUGUAGCGGUGAAAUGCGUAGAGAUCCGGAAGAACACCGGUGGCGAAGGCGGUCUGCUGGGCAGUUGCUGACACUGAGGCGCGACAGCGUGGGGAGCAAACAGG
rnacentral:rRNA from 1 species